CGUUCAACUCAGCUUCAACUUAAGAGAAACUCUCUUCUCCUUCGCGAAGCGCCGACGGCGCGAUCUCCCUCUCGGUCAACGGCGCGACGAAACCCUCCUCUUCUCCGAUCAAGAUCUUGAACCACCACCGUGAGAACGGAACUACUUCGUCUCUCAUUCCUUCUGCCCGCUCGUUUCUUUCUUUUCGAUUUCUCCCUCUCCGAUUGUUAACCCCCCGAUCUUCAAGCUUGAUGAGAUUGAAGAUUAUGGAUACUUGUUGAUGUUGAAUUGGUGAGGAUAGGAAUUGACUCGGGGAUGGUUGAAAGAUUGAAGUUGAAGAUUGGAGUGAAGAGAGCGAUGGGAUUGAGGUUGCAGAGUGAUGAAGAUUGAUGAUUAUGGAGGUUCUGGUUAUGGUUGUAGAGAGAGUCGAAGGUUGAGAAUCAAAGGAUGGUAGAGAUGGUAGAGUGAAGGGUGAAGUGUAUAUGAGUGGUGAAGAAGAUGGAGGAGCUGUGAAGAAUGGUGGAGAGUGGAAGAGAGUGAUUGAAGAAUGUGGUGGAAGGAUCAAAAAUGGUGGAGGCCCUAAUGGUGGAGAGGCUCUGACUUAUAUAGAGGAUGCAGGUUAUUUCAGGUAGCAGCGACAUAACAAACCCUGGUUCAAGUUGACGUUGGCAGGACUCGUAGUGGCGUAUUCGAAACGAUUCAGCCAACAAUAGUGGAGUGAGAAAUGUGGGACCUUUACAGAUGUUUAACAACAGGCUAAAUUCAUCAGAAUCAUUUGUAAGAAUUUCAUAGGUGUUGCCUUUGUCCUCCAUGUUAUCAUUCAAGACCAAAGCAGAUGAAUCAAAAUCAUUACAGCCAGCAAGAUUGGGUGAUUUCCUAAGACGUUUAUUCCUAUGCUGCAUUGGUUAAUUGGCUGCCAGAAUUCUUUCCACUAUUACUACAGGGGAACAUAACGUUUUGGCCCUAUGAUGAGAAUAAUGUAAUAUCUUGUAAUGUAAAUGGAGGUGAAAUGAUGUUUACAAUGUAAUUUGGCUUUUUGUAGAAACUUUUGAAUGAUGUAAUGGUAUGGCUUUUUCUAAUGAAACGUUUAUGAUGGAAUUAAACCUUGUAA